rnacentral:rRNA from 1 species
AGUGAACGCUGGCGGUAGGCCUAACACAUGCAAGUCGAACGGCAGCACAGUAAGAGCUUGCUCUUACGGGUGGCGAGUGGCGGACGGGUGAGGAAUACAUCGGAAUCUAUUUUUUCGUGGGGGUUAACGUAGGGAAACUUACGCUAAUACCGCAUACGACCUACGGGUGAAAGCAGGGGAUCUUCGGACCUUGCGCGUUUGAAUGAGCCGAUGUCGGAUUAGCUAGUUGGCGGGGUAAAGGCCCACCAAGGCGACGAUCCGUAGCUGGUCUGAGAGGAUGAUCGGCAACACUGGACCUGAGACACGGUCCAGCCUCCUACGGGGGCAGCAGUGGGGAAUAUUGGACAAAGGGCGCAAGCCUGAUCCAGCCAUACCGCGUGGGUGAAGAAGGCCUUCGGGUUGUAAAGCCCUUUUGUUGGGAAAGAAAAGCAGCAGGUUAAUACCCCGCUGUUCUGACGGUACCCAAAGAAUAAGCACCGGCUAACUUCGUG